GGGAGGCAGCAGUGGGGAAUUUUGGACAAUGGGCGCAAGCCUGAUCCAGCAAUGCCGCGUGCAGGAAGAAGGCCUUCGGGUUGUAAACUGCUUUUGUACGGAACGAAAAGGUUNUGGUUAAUACCUGGGGCACAUGACGGUACCGUAAGAAUAAGCACCGGCUAACUACGUGCCAGCAGCCGCGGUAAUACGUAGGGUGCAAGCGUUAAUCGGAAUUACUGGGCGUAAAGCGUGCGCAGGCGGUUUUGUAAGACAGGCGUGAAAUCCCCGGGCUUAACCUGGGAAUUGCGUUUGUGACUGCAAGGCUGGAGUGCGGCAGAGGGGGAUGGAAUUCCGCGUGUAGCAGUGAAAUGCGUAGAUAUGCGGAGGAACACCGAUGGCGAAGGCAAUCCCCUGGGCCUGCACUGACGCUCAUGCACGAAAGCGUGGGGAGCAAACAGGAUUAGAUACCCUGGUAGUCCACGCCCUAAACGAUGUCAACUGGUUGUUGGGUCUCUUCUGACUCAGUAACGAAGCUAACGCGUGAAGUGACCG
rnacentral:rRNA from 1 species